AAAACUACAGCCCUACAAGCAAAAGUCAGUACCACAGCACAACCAACACAAGUUAUCAGCUGAGUAUUAUGGUCCGUAUACAAUUAUCGAGAAGAUUAGAGAAGUUUCUUACAAGUUAAAUCUUCCUUCCUCAUCGACAAUCCACCUUCCAUGUCUCCCGAUUGAAGAGGAACCUGGGAAACAAAAUGUUGCACACUAAAUUGCCCGAUUGGCCCAAGGAACCCACUCUGCACCCUUAGGCAAUCUUGGAUCGAAGACCAGUCAGAAGGGGUCAACAGGCCGCAACUCAAAUCUUAGUCCAUUGGCAAGGGUUGUAUCUCCCUCUGAGGCAACAUGGGAAUUCAUUGAUGAAGUGAAACUCAGAUUUCUAUCAUUCAACCUCGAGGACAAGGUGUUUCUGAAAGGGAGAGAAUUGUUGCUAAUGAGGAUUGCCAAGAAGAAGAAAACAAGCCGAAGGGAAUAUUUGAAAAGAAAUGACCGUUGCUAAGUGUAUAGUUAAUCGCAACGCACCGUAUCAGCCCAAUCCUUCCUUAUUUUUAUGCGCACUGUUUCAAUAACCAGUGUAAAUUACCUGUACUGAGAAGAAUGCUAAAUUAGCAUUCAAUUAUUCUGAUUAAUUGCUCUAUAUAUGCUAUCGGUUGUAACAAAAUGAAUAUCGACAAAACUAAAUAAGAACAAGAAUUAAUCCAGUUAUGGGUUCUUCUCCUCCCUCCUCUCCCCACCUCUCUCCAACUUCUCUGGCAUCUUCUUCCUUUCUCUCUUUACUUGGCUGACCAAACACGAGCACAAUCACUCCACUAGAUUCAACACAGAUAGGAGAUUUCUUAAUUGAGUUUCUCCAAGAGGUAGAACUUUUACACGUGCUUCAAUAGAUUCUACCAAGUAAUUGUGUUAUCGAAAUCUGCUCUUCCUUUUUUCUAUUUCGAUUGGAGUUUAGGGCAAAAGUUCCUUACUUUCUUUACCUCUAUGGUUUUCUGCAGCGGCUAGCUAGUGUCCAUCAUCAAUCAUUGUGUUAACCUAUUAGCACCAAUUAUUUAGUCCCUUCUCAUGAUCACCGGAAAAAAUCAGCGCCUUCAUACAGUACCUCCCAUGUGGCAUGAUCAAUCCAGCUACAAGCCAAAAGUUCAGUCCCCUGUUAAAAUAUAGGUGCAGUCUCUCCCUUAUCACCAGAGGAACAUCAUGACAAAUUCAAGUUAAGGAAGAUUAGUGAUCUAGUCAUGUUCAUUAAUUAAACAAUGACACUUACUCUAAAUCCAAGAUUUUUUCAGCGACAAUGCCAUAACUACGGUGAACGUCGCAACAACCUGACCCAUGUGAUGUGAAUAUGCCGAUUAUUGAAUUAAUGCUCAAAUCAUUGCAAGGAUGAUCUUUCUAACAUUCCAAAUUGCUCUCAUCUCAUAUUGUAAUGACAGAUUUGAUUGAAAUUCAAUCAAAUCUGUCAUUCCUUAGCAAAGAUCAGCCCAGAUCACCAUUGUGCUUGCAGUACAAAAGAUAGAGCUCGCAUGCAAUCUUAAUCAGAAUAGCAACUUUCACAACCUGAAAUUUCUUAUAUCCUGCUGUUAAAACCCUUAAAUGGUGGCCAACCCUCGCAUAGAAUCACUGCCGCCUAACAUUCCAGCCUUGGAAAGUUCGUCUCCACAACAUAACAUGGAACUCUGAGUCUCAUAUCAACCAGUUCAUUUCGGGUGUCAAAGUCAUCCAAACAAAGCGCCCUCCCUGUCAUCAGAGUCAUUUAUUUACAAACAAAACCUCCAAAGCAAUAGCUUCUUAGCGGCACCUGCAUUCAGCUUACUACUUGUAGAACGCUUUCCAUAACCUAGAAAU
rnacentral:lncRNA from 1 species